rnacentral:rRNA from 1 species
CCAGGUCUUGACAUCCUCUGACAACCCUAGAGAUAGGGCUUUCCCUUCGGGGACAGAGUGACAGGUGGUGCAUGGUUGUCGUCAGCUCGUGUCGUGAGAUGUUGGGUUAAGUCCCGCAACGAGCGCAACCCUUGAUCUUAGUUGCCAGCAUUUAGUUGGGCACUCUAAGGUGACUGCCGGUGACAAACCGGAGGAAGGUGGGGAUGACGUCAAAUCAUCAUGCCCCUUAUGACCUGGGCUACACACGUGCUACAAUGGACAGAACAAAGGGCUGCGAGACCGCAAGGUUUAGCCAAUCCCAUAAAUCUGUUCUCAGUUCGGAUCGCAGUCUGCAACUCGACUGCGUGAAGCUGGAAUCGCUAGUAAUCGCGGAUCAGCAUGCCGCGGUGAAUA